rnacentral:rRNA from 1 species
AGUGAACGCUGGCGGUAGGCCUAACACAUGCAAGUCGAACGGCAGCACAGUAAGAGCUUGCUCUUACGGGUGGCGAGUGGCGGACGGGUGAGGAAUACAUCGGAAUCUACUUUUUCGUGGGGGAUAACGUAGGGAAACUUACGCUAAUACCGCAUACGACCUACGGGUGAAAGCAGGGGAUCUUCGGACCUUGCGCGAUUGAAUGAGCCGAUGUCGGAUUAGCUAGUUGGCGGGGUAAAGGCCCACCAAGGCGACGAUCCGUAGCUGGUCUGAGAGGAUGAUCAGCCACACUGGAACUGGGACACGGUCCAGACUCCUACGGGAGGCAGCAGUGGGGAAUAUUGGACAAUGGGCGCAAGCCUGAUCCAGCCAUACGGGGUGGGUGAAGAAGGCCUUCGGGUUGUAAAGCCCUUUUGUUGGGAAAAAAAAGCAGCAGGUUAAUACCCCGCUGUUCUGACGGUACCCAAAGAAUAAGCACCGGCUAACUUCGU